rnacentral:rRNA from 1 species
CGUACACUCCUACGGGAGGCAGCAGUGGGGAAUAUUGGACAAUGGGCGCAAGCCUGAUCCAGCCAUGCCGCGUGAGUGAUGAAGGCCCUAGGGUUGUAAAGCUCUUUCACCGGUGAAGAUAAUGACGGUAACCGGAGAAGAAGCCCCGGCUAACUUCGUGCCAGCAGCCGCGGUAAUACGAAGGGGGCUAGCGUUGUUCGGAUUUACUGGGCGUAAAGCGCACGUAGGCGGACUAUUAAGUCAGGGGUGAAAUCCCGGGGCUCAACCCCGGAACUGCCUUUGAUACUGGUAGUCUUGAGUUCGAGAGAGGUGAGUGGAAUUCCGAGUGUAGAGGUGAAAUUCGUAGAUAUUCGGAGGAACACCAGUGGCGAAGGCGGCUCACUGGCUCGAUACUGACGCUGAGGUGCGAAAGCGUGGGGAGCAAACAGGAUUAGAAACCCUAGUAGUCCC